rfam:Strongylocentrotus purpuratus Contig127591_fixed, whole genome shotgun sequence.
GGAGUGUUGGCUCAGUCAGUAGAGCGCCCGCCUCACAACCGGGAGGUCGUGGGUUCGAACCCCGGCCGCGUCA